GCUCUAUCUUAAAGCAUUCAUGAACAGCUUUAAUUUGAUACCCAUAUUGAACAAAUACACCCAAGGUUACCCAGGUCCACGUUUUGGUCUAUAUCUCGAGACCCUAGUCACCCAGCUAUAU